GAACCAGUGUGGUUGGACACAAGAAGCUCUGGAUCACGGCCUAAUAGUUGCAGCAACACUUCACAGCUUUGCACACACUUCACACCUCAGCUUCAUCUCUUCAUGGAACCGGUUUGAGACUCCUCUUCUCAACAAGCUUCAUAGCCUUCUUAGAAAGGCAAGGAUGUGACCGGAUCAUCUUUAAGCAUCAGUGAGGCUGAAUCAGACUUCAAACUAUGCUUGCCCUCUUCAUAGAACUUGUUUGGAUCUCCCCCUC
rnacentral:lncRNA from 1 species